rnacentral:lncRNA from 1 species
CCGGCCCGCGCCGGUCCCGGGGCGCCCGGCGGGACUGGCGGGGCCGCAGCGGGAUCGGCUCCUCCUCGCCGCUGUGCUCGUGUACGGAAUUUCGUCUCUUUAAACUCCAUGUGGUUCUGCCCCGGUAAACGGGACGCGUCCAUCCCCGGCUCGCACGCUCCCUUACAUGCUCAAUCCACACAGGAAGAAGCAGAAGUUUUAGCCAUCUUCCCAUGGCAUCUGACUUUUUUGAAGAGGAGCAGCAUAUUAAAAUGUGAAAGCCUAAGACUAAUCUGCUUUUCAACCACUUGA